UUGAGAGCUUGCUUUUGAUAUUUUAGCGGCGGACGGGUGAGUAACGUGUGGGUAACCUGCCUUUUACUGUGGAAUAAUCGUUGGAAACGACGACUAAUACCGCAUACGGUUCUUGGAAGGCAUCUUCUAAGAAAGAAAGGAGUAAUUCGGUAAAAGAUGGGCCCGCAUCUGAUUAGCUAGUUGGUGAGAUAACAGCCCACCAAGGCAACGAUCAGUAGCCGACCUGAGAGGGUGACCGGCCACAUUGGGACUGAGACACGGCCCAAACUCCUACGGGAGGCAGCAGUGGGGAAUAUUGCACAAUGGGGGAAACCCUGAUGCAGCAACGCCGCGUGAAGGAAGACGGUUUUCGGAUUGUAAACUUCUAUCAAUAGGGAAGAAAGAAAUGACGGUACCUAAAUAAGAAGCCCCGGCUAACUACGUGCCAGCAGCCGCGGUAAUACGUAGGGGGCAAGCGUUAUCCGGAAUUACUGGGUGUAAAGGGAGAGUAGGCGGCAAGGUAAGCGAUAUGUGAAAGCCUUAGGCUUAACCAAAGGAUUGCAUAACGAACUAUCUAGCUAGAGUACAGGAGAGGAAAGCGGAAUUCCUAGUGUAGCGGUGAAAUGCGUAGAUAUUAGGAAGAACACCAGUGGCGAAGGCGGCUUUCUGGACUGAAACUGACGCUGAGGCUCGAAAGCGUGGGGAGCGAACAGGAUUAGAUACCCUGGUAGUCCACGCUGUAAACGAUGAGUGCUAGGUGUCGGGGAGGAAUUCCCGGUGCCGGAGCAAACGCAAUAAGCACUCCACCUGGGGUGUACGACCGCAAGGUUGAAACUCAAAGGAAUUGACGGGGGCCCGCACAAGCGGUGGAGCAUGUGGUUUAAUUCGAAAGCACGCGAAGAACCUUACCAAGGCUUGACAUACCUAUGACG
rnacentral:rRNA from 1 species